rnacentral:rRNA from 1 species
CGGGAGGGGGACACCCCCGGAAAACUGGGGCCAAUCCCCCAUAGGGGAAGGGCGCUGGAAGGCCCCCUCCCCGAAAGGACUGUGUGGCCGAUCCGCCGCCGCCCGCCCGAGGAUGGGGGCACGGCCCAUCAGGUAGUUGGCGGGUUAAAGGCCCGCCAAGCCGAAGACGGGUAGGGGCGGUGAGAGCCGCGAGCCCCGAGAUCGGCACUGAGACAAGGGCCGAGGCCCUACGGGGUGCAGCAGGCGCGAAUACUCCGCAAUGCGGGCAACCGCGACGGGGCUACCCCGAGUGCCGGGCGAAGAGCCCGGCUUUUGCCCGGUCUAAAACGCCGGGAGAAUAAGCGGGGGGCAAGUCUGGUGUCAGCCGCCGCGGUAAUACCAGCUCCGCGAGUGGUCGGGGUGUUUACUGGGCUUAAAGCGCCCGUAGCCGGCCCGGCAAGUCGCUCCUGAAAUCCCAGGGCUCAACCCUGGGGCGGGGGGCGAUACUGCCGGGCUAGGGGGCGGAAGAGGCCGCCGGUACUCCGGGGGUAGGGGCGAAAUCCGUUAAUCCCCGGAGGACCACCAGUGGCGAAAGCGGGCGGCCAGAACGCGCCCGACGGUGAGGGGCGAAAGCCGGGGGAGCAAAGGGGAUUAGAUACCCCUGUAGUCCCGGCCGUAAACGAUGCGGGCUAGCUGUCGGCUGGGCUUAGGGCCCGGCCGGUGGCGAAGGGAAACCGUUAAGCCCGCCGCCUGGGGAGUACGGCCGCAAGGCUGAAACUUAAAGGAAUUGGCGGGGGGGCACCACAAGGGGUGAAGCUUGCGGCUUAAUUGGAGUCAACGCCGGAAACCUCACCCGGGGCGACAGCAGGAUGAAGGCCAGGCUAACGACCUUGCCGGACGAGCUGAGAGGAGGUGCAUGGCCGUCGUCAGCUCGUGCCGUGAGGUGUCUGGUUAAGUCCGGCAACGAGCGAGACCCCCGCCCCUAGUUGCUACCCGGCCCUUCGGGGCCGGGGGCACACUAGGGGGACUGCCGGCGUAAGCCGGAGGAAGGAGGGGGCCACGGCAGGUCAGUAUGCCCCGAAACCCCGGGGCUGCACGCGAGCUGCAAUGGCGGGGACAGCGGGAUCCGACCCCGAAAGGGGGAGGCAAUCCCGUAAACCCCGCCCCAGUAGGGAUCGAGGGCUGCAACUCGCCCUCGUGAACGUGGAAUCCCUAGUAACCGCGUGUCACCAACGCGCGGUGAAUACGUCCCUGCCCCUUGCACACACCGCCCGUCAAGGGCGAAUUCCAG